rnacentral:rRNA from 1 species
CCUACGGGAUGCACCAGUAGGGAAUCUUCGGCAAUGGACGAAAGUCUGACCGAGCAACGCCGCGUGAGUGAAGAAGGUUUUCGGAUCGUAAAACUCUGUUGGUAGAGAAGAACGUUGGUGAGAGUGGAAAGCUCAUCAAGUGACGGUAACUACCCAGAAAGGGACGGCUAACUACGUGCCAGCAGCCGCGGUAAUACGUAGGUCCCGAGCGUUGUCCGGAUUUAUUGGGCGUGAAGCGAGCGCAGGUGGUUUAUUAAGUCUGGUGUAAAAGGCAGUGGCUCGACCAUUGUAUGCAUUGGAAACUGGUAGACUUGAGUGCAGGAGAGGAGAGUGGAAUUCCAUGUGUAGCGGUGAAAUGCGUAGAUAUAUGGAGGAACACCGGUGGCGAAAGCGGCUCUCUGGCCUAUAACUGAGACUGAGGCUCGAAAGCGUGGGGAGCAAACAGGAUUAGAUAACCUGGUAGUC